rnacentral:rRNA from 1 species
GACGAACGCUGGCGGCGUGCUUAACACAUGCAAGUCGAACGGAAAGGCCCUGCUUUUGUGGGGUGCUCGAGUGGCGAACGGGUGAGUAACACGUGAGUAACCUGCCCUUGACUUUGGGAUAACUUCAGGAAACUGGGGCUAAUACCGGAUAGGAGCUCCUGCUGCAUGGUGGGGGUUGGAAAGUUUCGGCGGUUGGGGAUGGACUCGCGGCUUAUCAGCUUGUUGGUGGGGUAGUGGCUUACCAAGGCUUCGACGGGUAGUCGGCCUGGGAGGGUGGCCGGCCACAAUGGGACUGCGAUACGGACCAGACUCCUACGGGAGGCAGCAGUGGGGAGUAUUGCACAAUGGGCGGAAGCCUGAUGCGACAACGCCGCGUGCGGGAUGACGGCCUUCGGGUUGUAAACCGCUUUCGCCUAUGACGAAGCGUGAGUGACGGUACUGGGUAAAGAAGCACCGGCUAACUACGUG